rnacentral:rRNA from 1 species
AUUGAACGCUGGCGGCAUGCCUUACACAUGCAAGUCGAACGGCAGCGGGGAGCUUGCCCUGGCGUCCAGCGGCGGACGGGUGAGUAAUGCCUCGGAACCUGCCCAGUAGUGGGGGAUAACGUGGCGAAAGGCGCGCUAAUACCGCAUACGUCCUGAGGGAGAAAGCGGGGGAUCUUCGGACCUCACGCUAUUGGAUCGGCCUAUGUCGGAUUAGCUAGUUGGUGGGGUAAAGGCCUACCAAGGCGACGAUCCGUAACUGGUCUGAGAGGACGACCAGCCACACUGGAACUGAGACACGGUCCAGACUCCUACGGGAGGCAGCAGUGGGGAAUAUUGGACAAUGGGCGCAAGCCUGAUCCAGCCAUGCCGCGUGUGUGAAGAAGGUCUUCGGGUUGUAAACCGCUUUUAGUUGGGAGGAAAGGCACUAGGCUAAUACCUUGCUGGUUUGACGUUACCGGAAGAAUAAGCACCGGCUAACUUCGUG